rnacentral:rRNA from 1 species
GCAGCCACCCUUGAAAGAGUGCGUAAUAGCUCACUGGUCAAGUGAUUCCGCGCCGACAAUGUAGCGGGGCUCAAGCGUACCGCCGAAGUCAUGUCAUUCCAGCGUGAGGACCAACGUCUGCUGGGAUGGGUAGGGGAGCGUCGUGUGCCGGGUGAAGCAGCCGUGGAAACGAGUUGUGGACGGUUCACGAGUGAGAAUGCAGGCAUGAGUAGCG